rnacentral:rRNA from 1 species
UACGAAGGGGGCUAGCGUUGUUCGGAAUUACUGGGCGUAAAGCGCACGUAGGCGGCUUUGUAAGUUAGAGGUGAAAGCCCGGGGCUCAACUCCGGAAUUGCCUUUAAGACUGCAUCGCUAGAAUUGUGGAGAGGUAAGUGGAAUUCCGAGUGUAGAGGUGAAAUUCGUAGAUAUUGGGAAGAACACCGGUGGCGAAGGCGGCUCACUGGCUCGUAACUGACGCUCAGGCGCGACAGCGUGGGGACUCAAACAGG